GAGGACCAUGCUGGGCCGGACCCUCAGAGAAGUUUCUGCGGCACUGAAACAAGGCCAAAUUACACCCAUAAAGCUCUGUCAAAAAUGUUUUUCUCUUAUCAAGAAGACCAAGUUUCUAAAGGCCUACAUUACUGUAACAGAAGAGGUGGCCUUAAAACAAGCUGAAGAAUCAGAAAAAAGAUAUAAGAACGGUCAGUCACUUGGGGAUUUAGAUGGAAUUCCUAUUGCAGUAAAAGACAACUUUAGCACGUCUGGCAUUGAAACAACUUGUGCAUCAAAUAUGCUGAAAGGUUAUGUACCACCUUAUAAUGCUACAGUAAUUCAGAAGUUGUUGGAUCAGGGAGCUCUGCUAAUGGGGAAGACAAAUUUAGAUGAGUUUGCUAUGGGAUCUGGAACCACAGAUGGUGUAUUUGGACCAGUUAAAAACCCCUGGCGUUAUUCAAAACAAUAUAGAGAAAAGAGGAAGCAGAAGCCAUGUGGUGAGAAGGAAGAUUCAAAUUGGCUAAUAACUGGAGGAAGCUCGGGUGGGAGUGCAGCUGCUGUAUCAGCAUUCACGUGCUUUGCGGCUUUAGGAUCAGAUACAGGAGGAUCGACUAGAAAUCCUGCUGCCCACUGUGGGCUUGUUGGUGUCAAACCAAGCUAUGGUUUAGAUAGUUGA